GAUGGAGGCCGCUGUGGCAGGAGGAGUGGACCUGCACCGACAGCAUGCCGUGUAAGGAAGCGUGCUGCCUUCAAGUGUCCCUGCUGCAGGGAGGACACGUCAGUCCACUGGUCCAAAGCUGCCCCGAAGAGGAGGAGGUCCUCCAAAUUUCAACCGGCAGUAGAAAAGGCAGCCGUUCCUCCCUCAGCCAUCCCACACCACACCCUCCCAGUGGCAUCACUCGUCCCGCGCGUCCCACCACCCCGCGCUUGUACUCCGCUGGAGGCAGUAAGCAUCCACGGCCUCACAGUGCAGCAACACCAGCGGUUAUAUCACCAGGUGGUGGAUGACAAACUGAGGUUCAAGAAUGGCCAACCACGUCCGUACAGCCUUGAUCUGGGACGUGUGAUCAAGCAAAAGCUGUGGGAACAUCAGUCAAGCCCCACCUUUUCUGAAACUGAGGAUGAGAACGGAAGAGUGGAGGUCACUCCAUCAUACGGAGGUGGAGUCUUCCCUCCUCUGUAUGAUGUGGACGUUAGCCUGGAGCCCAAACCACCCAAGUUGAAAAACAACUACUUUGAGUAAAUAUGAAGGAAGGGGUAGAAGACCAGAAGAGGAGGUGGGGGUCACUUUAAUUACCUUCCCCAUCCCUUUAACCCCCACUCUGCCUCUUUUGACUCCUACCUUCAUGUUUGUCCAAAGUAUGCUACAACACACGACUUUGUGAACUG